CGCGUAGGCGGUUUACACAGUCAGAUGUGAAAUUCCAGGGCUUAACCUUGGGGCUGCAUUUGAUACGUGUAGACUAGAGUGUGAGAGAGGGUUGUGGAAUUCCCAGUGUAGAGGUGAAAUUCGUAGAUAUUGGGAAGAACACCGGUGGCGAAGGCAGGUUACUAAGUCAUAACUGACGCUGAGGCACGAAAGUGUGGGGAUCAAACAGGAUUAGAUACCCUCGUA
rnacentral:rRNA from 1 species